UCCCUAAGAGCCAGGUGGUGCGGCAUGGUCAGGAGUGGGUGGAGCCUUCCUGAAAGGCCUCCAGCCCACAAUGGAGCAGAAAUGUGAACAAGGCUGCUGUGGGCUCAAGGCUGGCUGUGCAGAGCCUGUACACCAUGGGACCAGCACCCCGGUUCCUUGCCAACUGGUUGUGCAUGGCAGUGACCCAGGACCAAGAAGCCAUUCCCAGCAUCCACCACGGAGCUCUCUGGCUGGGCAGAGGUUCCCACUUGUGAUGCUGUCUACCAUGUUGUGACCCAGCCAAGGGGCCUUACUGAUAACAAACAAAAAAAUAAAAUCAAACAAUGAGGUCCCAGUCCCAGACUGUCAACCUUCAAAACUGUUAGCCAACUAACGCUCUCUUCUGCUAAGUACCUGGCCCCGGGUGUCUUGCUUGUCACAGCUGUGGAGCGUUGACUUCUGUGAGCAGGAGAGCAGCACUGUGUUUGCCAGAGAUGUCGCACCCAGGAAGCCAGUGCUAUGACAGUUUCACACCGAAGACCGUCCUAAACCCAAAACUUUAUAUCCCGUUCACAGGCAAGGGCAAAAGAAAGGCGUUUUCAGACAUGUUCAGGCUCAGAAAGUUUCUCACAGAAAAGUCUCUUUUGUAGAAAAAAGUAGUUGAUUAGAUAAUGUAUUAAAGCAAAACUGUGUGUACAAUAAUUCUGUGUCAAAUUCUAAGUGAUUCCACACCCUGUGGGGAAGAGGUUUGGAUGGAAAGAGAGUAGAGUGAAGAGUCAGCAGCCUUGGUGACCUGCCUUGUUCAUAGGGCAGCAAAGGAUGAUGAGAGAUGGUCUGGAAAAGAUGCAUAAACAUGGAUCUGAGGGAGUGGCCAUCAAGAGAAUCACAAGGCAAUGUGUUAAACUGUAAGUAAAAAGAUCUAUUCCAUAGAUGUUAGGAAAAGAAAAGUGUAUGGAAUACAGAGAUAAGCUCAUGAAAUAAUAUGGAGGAAGUAGUUAGGAAUACAGCACAAAGCAUAAUAAAUGUGACUGCACUAUACUAUUCACCAAGAGACAAAACUCUCAGAAUACAUACAUUCAAAGAUAGUCUAAGUUAAUAUCUACACAAAACAUAUAAAGAAGAUUAGAAUUCAAAUGUGUAGCAGCUAAAAUCUCCAUAUAGUACUAAAAGGACGCAAGGACGACAGGCCACUGAACACAUGAGGAGAGGUCUCUGCCAGAUAGGAGAGAGGCAUUUGGGAGUCUAUCAGAGGGGACACUGGACUCUCCGAUUUGUCGUGAGCCACACCAAGCACCAUAAAUGUGGAGCCAGCAGUCUCGUGGGAGAUGGAAUGAGUAACUCCGUUUGAGCAGCCGAGCAGGAGGGCAUGAAGCUCUGUGGUCGGUCACUCGGGGCAUGAGAGUUUCACUCAUGCCAGAAGGAGGACUGUGGUAAGUGAAGCGCAGACAGAUGAGACCUGGCAUAUUGAUAGAUUCCAGCGGCAUUGUCGGAAAAUUCUAGAAACCAAACCAUGGGCAAGGAAAAAUGGGUAAGAUGGCCCUGGGAGAGGACAUGUGUAAAGACAGAGACUCAGUGGGAGCCGUGUUAGAGGAAAGGGGGAGAGAGGAACUGGGCUCCGCAUCCCAGGGGAACCAGCCCCACUGCAUCCACAGGAGGCUCAGUCUGAACUGUUGACGUCUGUGCAAGUCGACACCUAGAGCCUGGAAACCACCUCUAAGUGUGCUCAGGGCCAUUUGUGGAGUCCUCACUUUCCACUAGCCAGAAACCCCUGCAUUCUUUGCCAGCAUUAGAAUCGUUUUGUAUACUCCCAGCUUUACUGUGCUGGAGACAGUUGCUGUACAUUAUCACAUGCACUUUAAAAGUUGGCUUGCUUUGACUUGUGUACACUCGGUAAAUAAAACUAAUUCCAUUCUUUGUGACAAACUGA